CAGGGCUUUGUACCAUAACUUUGGUGUCAAUUGUGUGAGGAGUAGGGGUGGGAGACUGUAUUCUUACAGCUGUCUCAGUGGUCCCUGCUACGGUGAGGGAAGAAGUAGUCACGAUAACUUGACCGUGAAGGGCUCGAGCGCCAUGUGACAUCCUGGCCAGAAACGUCGACUCGAUUGAGAUUUCAUCAUCUCCAUUGAGAAAGGGAGCCGGCCUAUCACUAAAAUCACCACCUCUUGGUCCUUCCUCUCUCGUGUUCAGCGCAAGGGCCUUCCUGACUGUGUGACAGAGGGAGUCCUGAGUGACGCCGUGAAUGACUCUACGAUGCCUUUACUGCCCCCCCCCCACCCCCACCUCUUCCCGGCUG